rnacentral:lncRNA from 1 species
AUAACCUAGAUCCAGAUUUUCUCUUUCUCUCUGUCUUUCUGUAUUCAUCCUUAAAUCAAUGAAGAAGAACAUCGUUCCAUUUGGUGAUGUCGAUUCAAGCCUAAAUCGCCACAAUUUCUGCUCUUACAUCUUUCUCCUUGAUCUAGGGUCCAGACCAUAGACCAUUAAAGGAGGCCGACUAAACUAGGGUUUCGACUACUGAUCUAUUUCUGCACGUAUGUUCUUCAGACAAUCAAGGAUGACGAGCGAUCCAAGCACUCCAAAUAAGUAAGACAACCAAGUUUUGGUAAAUAUCUUCAUUCGUACCUUUUGUGUCAUGAAGGAACCAACUUCGGGCGUACUACAGGUGGCUCAUUUAUUGCUACAAGAAUGCAGAAGCGACCAUUACUUAAUAAAGCUUAAGAAUUGAGGGCAUGCGGAACCUUAAGGAUGUGUUGCUAACUACUGAUGGGGCGGUCUGCCUUCCGAAGAUCUGCAGCCGCGGCAUGAGGAGCGUGUAAUAAUCAUAAGCAACAAAGAUUAGGGAUCAGCACGGUACCCGUUCGGUACUGAAAAACGGGAAAAAGUGGUACCGGUUCUGAAUACACCGGUACUUACCGGUGUUUUACCCGUAAAUACCGGUACCGGUACCGAAAAAUGAAGAAAAUGGGAACCGGUACCGAAUAUACCCAAUAUGGUUUGGUACCGGUACCCGGUACCAAAUGCUCAUCCCUACCAAAGAUAGUGAGAACACUAUUACCGAGGCAGAGAAUGCACUCCACCAAAAUGGCACUUUGGUUCUCAUGGUGAUAAGAUAUUACUUUUGUUACUACUAUGUUUACAUAUUGCAAUUUGCAUAUGCUAGCAUUAUUGUUUUAGCGAAAAGCAGGCAUCCUAGCAGAAAAUAAUCGAAGAGGUCAAAGUUCUUGGAUUCCCAUGGAUUAGAAAUUGAGCAAGAAUUAAUACACUUGAAUGGGAGGAAUGGAAAACAUUCAAAGUCUAAUUAUUCGUUUGGUAGAAUGUAAUAUGUAUGAUGUAAAUACUUUGGUGUUUGGGUUAAGCUUUUGGCUUUCCCUAUAUUAAUAAAGAUUUAGUUUGUCGUCAAAUAAAAGAUAUCGACCAGUAUUUAU